CUUCUUCUUUCUUCUUCAUUUUGGAUGGAUCGUGGCCGCGCAAGAGGAAAAUCGGCUCGACUUCCUACGAUUCUUCGAUAAGAUCAUCCCCGAGGCAAGUAGAUUCUAAUUCCUCGACUUCGCAUUCGUCUUUUCACCCGAGAUAAAUGGUUUUUGGCCUUUUAUGAAAGGUUUUGGGUCUCGAGUUGAAAAGUUCGGAAAGUCUUUGACUUUUUGGUUUCCUGAGGACGUACGGGUGUCGGGAUAUCGUGUGAUGGUGACGGAUCAUUGAAAACGAGCUUGGAUGGCUCGAACGAGACGUGUUAAGGUUAUGUGUAAGUUGGAUGAUGAAAUUUUUACUAUGUUCGUUUGAUUUUCUAGUCGUUUUUGGUGUUGUUCAAGUGUCGGGAUGACACAUGGUGAGUUUGAAUGGUUUUAAGGAGUCGAUAAGGGCAGUCGUGGUUUGCGUUGAGCCGAACCACUUAACGGCGCGUGGUGGCCACGGAAUAGAAAGUAGCACGGGGGUGGCUCACGGUGCGGGAUGGAGGUGUGAGGAACGCCUAUGUCGUAGGCCGACGUUGGUGGUGACUGAGCCCAUGGAUGGCGACGACGUGGUCUCGCGUCAGCUAAUCGUGUGAUGAAGGAUAGUUUAUAUGAGAUGGUGAUUUUGUGCACGAUGUUGUUAUAUUGCCUGCGCUUUGGAUAGUAUCGUUGGUGUCUCGUUGGUUUAAUAUGCCCCAUAUAUGGAUUGUUAUUCACAUGCUUCUGUUAGAAUCAUUUGCACUCAUCAUAUCAUAAUUGUGUGAUAAUGGAUAGUGAGGGUCGUCAGACGGGGGAUUCCUGACGAUGCCUUAUGUGCAUUGCUUCAUGUGCAUCAUGUGAAAAUGAAUGGUGAGGACCAUCGGUCUACGCGCCGAUGAUGCCCCACGGGAGUAUCGGGAUGCCCAAGUACGAAAGGCUUGGAUGCCGUCGGUCUGCGCGCUGACGAUGUCUCGGAGUGAGAUGCCUGUGAUUGGUAUACCAUGGAAGUCCGGUUUGCGCGCUGGAAGUUACCCGCACAGGUCGGUCUGCACGCCGAUGUAACCGUGGUACGGGGGUGGAUAUUUGAUGAGAGAACUGGAAUAAUAACUGGCAUAUAACAUGCACUGCACCCAUUUUAUUGCAUUUGCAUCAUUCCUCUCAUAAAUGAUGUUUACAUCUUGUGGUGAUUUGAUGAUUCGUGUUGUCGAUGUUUUAGAUAUCUUUUUGCUAAGCUUUAUGCUUGCUCCCGUGGUUAUUUAUCUUUUCAGAUUAGUAGAUAUGCCAUCCGUUCCUCCCGCUAUCUAUAGCGCUCGUUAUGGAGCCCCUGUUGAUUUUACGUUCCAUUGGGAGGACGUGACCUUUCCUGAGUUUCCGAAUGUUGUUUUUGUGAGGUUUGUGUCCACGCUGUGGGUUUGAUGUAGGCUUUGCGCCAAGGUUAGAUUCAUACCGUUUCGUUGCGUUGUAUAUCCGCUGCCAGGGACAGCUUUGGGGGCCGCUUCCAUUUCUGGAUAUUGACUCAAACUCAGGGUCGGACAGCGAUCCUAAUAUGGAGGAGUAGUUGGGUGACCAGAUGGACGACUUUUUGAGUGUGUCUUAGGCGCUUGGGGAGCCGGUCGUGCCGAAUAUGGGCUAGGAAAGGAGAAAGCAGUGGAGGCUGCGUUAGAGUGUUCCGCGUAUCUCGAGAAGCAGAUCGAGGGGAAGAAGUCUUCGCGGGAGAGAAGAUAGGCUAUUUGGAUCCCGCAUUGGCUCGGCGUCAUGGAAGAAGCUGGAGGCAUGAAUAUACUUGAUGCUGAGAAGUUCCCAUCCCUUCAUGAAUGGGCACAAAACUUCAUUGAAAUUCUGCCGAUUACUGAAUGUGUUCCACCUAGAGAUAUGCUGGUUAACUGUGCCACUGCUCUCCUGAGCUACCUGCGUUCCUCAGCACCACACAAGCCAUAAAGGAAGUGUUGCUCGUGCUCGUCUCCCCUCUUUUCCUCUCUUAUACUUGUAACCUUCUGAUGUGGCGCAAGAAUAUACUUAUUCUGUUCUGACCUUAAUCAGUGCCGAGUCCUCUAAAUAACCAAAACCAACAUCUUCACUGCCUCCCCCUGCUUCUGCCAGUCUAACGUUGAAGCCAUGGCUUUGAUUUGGUUUAGUAAGAUUGCUAAGUUCUUUUGCGCAGAUGUAUCACUAUCGAGAGGGCAGGUGUGACAUGAAGGUUGAAUUAGUUCUCAGAUGAAAAAAGAUUGAAUUAGUUAUCGUGUGGUGUCAUUGAAUUCGCUAUGACUUGUAGGUUCUCGAUGUGAUGAAAUAGAAUAUGUAGCUCCAAAGCUCAAAACCAGAUGCUUGUUAAACUUGCAGCAUACAAAGCACUUGAAUUGAGGGUUUUGAUCAUGUCAAAGUGCAAUUGGGAGAUACUGAGAUAUGGGAUUGGAUAAUUGUUGCAGAUAACUAUUUGCUGCUCUAA